UUCAUUAAACUCCCUACCCAAAUGAAGGAACCUAAUCUCUCUGAAGAACACUGAAGCCCCCGAAUUUCUGCGAGAAAGAUCUUCGUCUCGCCCAGAAUUUUGACCUCCGACGACAAAAGCCUCACCACUUCAAGAUAACCGGUGUGCAUGAUAACGUAUGUAAAGCCUGACCAACUUGCAAAACGCAACUCCUCCUUGACCAAUUUGGCAUGCAACGGAGAGAGGCGCACCUCCAAACAACGGGAUAAGGUAAAAAUCACUUUCCUUUCAUGAUCUUGGAUUAGGGUCCCAAUUCCAGUAUGAGGGAGAUUCAGAAAACAGGCAGUAUCAAUGAAAAUAUGGAAGGACAAAAUCAGGACAAGGGGAAUUGGGAUCCACCUGGGCUGCUAAUUUAUGGGCAGAAAGUUCACCAUCGGAGGAUUGAUUGCCCAGCUCACGGCCACUGAUAGUUCCAACUUGUGUGAAUCAAACGGAGCUAAAAGGGAAUGCUAGAAAUCUUCAAAACUCUCAGAGCCAAAUCAGUCUAUCUGCACCAAAGGCUGCACCUGAGUUUCAUAGAGAUAGCCGACCAAUUUCUGCCACUCACCGUCUCAGAAUUUGCAUAUCAUUUUGUAUGUACAUCUAAAAUGACUUAUACUGGAAUAGUUGUACCUUUUGUGGUUGUACAACAUGUUUAGAAGUCAUGGUCGAAUAGUUAUUUUUGAAAUGAAUUAUGUUACACUUUAUGUUUUAUAUGUUGAAGAAUAAUCUAAAUUAGUUUUAGAAAUUUAGAAAGACGUUGACUAUAGACUUGGUAGAUGGUUGGAGGUCUAUGGUCGGCACGACUUGUCCUAUAGUUAGUAGGUGUUUAGGGCAGGUCGUGUCAAUAGUCCUCACGGCUUUGCUUUUGGUUUCACCUAAAAGACUUCAUGCCAAUGGAGAUGGUUGUUCUAUCUUAUAUACCUAUGAUCAUUCACUUCCCUAGCCAAUGUGGGACUUUGU